rnacentral:rRNA from 1 species
GGGCGGGUCGGGCGGUCCACCGGCAACGGUGUGUACUGCUAAUCGGCCUGCUCCUUCCUCCCGUGGAGCCUCGUUUGCCCCUUUAGUGGGGCGCGUUGCCUUUCCCGGGAAUUUUACUGUGAAAAAAUUAGAGUGUUCAAAGCAGGCAUAUCCCGCCUGUAUACAUUAGCAUGGAAUAAUAGAAUAGGACCGUGGUCCUAAUUUUGUUGGCUUUCAGGACCGCAGUA